CAGUAGCCGCGGUAAUACGAAGGGUGCAAGCGUUAAUCGGAAUUACUGGGCGUAAAGCGUGCGUAGGCGGUGAGUUAAGUCUGCUGUGAAAUCCCCGGGCUCAACCUGGGAAUGGCAGUGGAUACUGGCUCGCUAGAGUGUGUCAGAGGAUGGUGGAAUUCCCGGUGUAGCGGUGAAAUGCGUAGAGAUCGGGAGGAACAUCAGUGGCGAAGGCGGCCAUCUGGGACAACACUGACGCUGAGGCACGAAAGCGUGGGGAGCAAACAGGAUUAGAUACCCGCGUAGUCCCUGUCUCUUAUAA
rnacentral:rRNA from 1 species